GUCUAUGGCCAUACCACCCUGAGCGCUCCUGAUCUUCCUGAUCUCGGAAGUGAAGCAGGGUCGAGCCUGGUUUGUACUUGGAUGGGAGAUUAACAAUUGUUAUAUCUU
rnacentral:rRNA from 1 species